rnacentral:sRNA from 1 species
GCCGGGCGCGGUGGUGCACGCCUGUAAUCCCAGCAGCUUGGGAGGCUGAGGCAGGAGGAUUGUGAUUUCAAAGCUAGCGUCAGUAAAAGCAAGGCACUAAGCAACUCAGUGAGACCCUGUCUCUA